GCGCACCUUGGUGUUUUACUUCCGUUCUAUCAUUCUUCGACACGUUUCCGCUCGCAAGACCGCCUUCUCCCUUUUCUCGUCCAAAGUGUCGAGCUCGACUCUCAUCUCCCGAUCAUUCAAACUUAGGUCACUUAACCCUCUCCUCAAUGAGGGUUCGCCAAGUUCGACCGGUAACACAGCGUCGGUUCCGUACGUCAGGUUGAACGGGGUUUCACCGGUCGUUCCGUGUGGGGUACAUCGAUACGCCCACAACACCUCCGGUAGUUCCUCUACCCAGGCGCCUUUAUUCUCUC
rnacentral:lncRNA from 1 species